rnacentral:rRNA from 1 species
GACGAACGCUGGCGGCGUGCUUAACACAUGCAAGUCGAACGGAAAGGCCCUGCUUUUGUGGGGUGCUCGAGUGGCGAACGGGUGAGUAACACGUGAGUAACCUGCCCUUGACUUUGGGAUAACUUCAGGAAACUGGGGCAAAUAACGGAUAGGAGCUCCUGCUGCAUGGUGGGGGUUGGAAAGUUUCGGCGGUUGGGGAUGGACUCGCGGCUUAUCAGCUUGUUGGUGGGGGAGUGGCUUACCAAGGCUUUGACGGGUAGCCGGCCUGAGAAGGUGACCGGCCACAUUGGGACUGAGACACGGCCCAGACUCCUACGGGAGGCAGCAGUGGGGAAUAGUGCACAAUGGGCGGAAGCCUGAGUCAGCAACGCCGCGUUCGGGAUGACUGCCUUCGGUUUGUAAACCGCUUUCGCCUGGGACGAAGCGUGAGUGGCGGUAAUGUGUAGAGAAGCACCGGCUAACUACGUG